rnacentral:rRNA from 1 species
CAUGAAGUCGGAAUCGCUAGUAAUCGCAGAUCAGAAUGCUGCGGUGAAUACGUUCCCGGGUCUUGUACACACCGCCCGUCACACCAUGGGAGUGGGUUUUACCAGAAGUAGUUAGCCUAACCGCAAGGGGGGCGAUUACCACGGUAGGAUUCAUGACUGGGGUGAAGUCGUAACAAGGUAGCCGUACCGGAAGGUGCGGCUGGAUCACCUCCUUUA